rnacentral:rRNA from 1 species
UCAUCUCUCAAUCGCUCGCAGCAAAUGAGAAAACCAAGUGUGGAUCUAGAAAUUCGGUGGGACGGACCUCGACAUGCAUUUAGGCUGCGUUUGGCAGCAAAGUUUUUUCAAUGUUUUCUGAGAAUAUUGUGGUUUCUGAAAAAGACCAAGGUUUUGAAUACUUUGCUGCGUUUGGCAUCAGAAAAAACCAAAGUAUUGUAAACCACGGUAUGCCAGAAACCAACGUAUUUUUGUGGUAUCUGGAAAAGAGGUCCCGACCUCUUUUUUUCAAACAGAACGGAGAGAAAUCAUCGGGGAGAUCACGGUGACGUUGCCGUCUACGUUGAGAUAAGAAUACCAGCUGCGAUCCCAUCCUAUUUUCCCUCUUUCUGUUAUGGUAUAAACUCCUGGUUAUAGCCAAUCUCAUCCUAUUUACGAGUAGCAGGUCUCUCAGGUUCUUCUUCUAGCCGGCGUCCCGUGCGAGUCUCGUCUCUUCUCUGCAGCGCCAUGAGCGAAUCAAGCUCUCCACCACGGAAAAAAGGGCCAAAACAGGACAGAGCUACAUGGAAUAAUGGUCGCACUGGCUUUUUUGUGUCAAUGAUGAAAGAGUAUGCAAAUGUGGGAAGGUAUCAUGGCCAAAAUGGGUGGACCAAGGAAGGAUGGCAAGCUAUGAAAAACCGCCUUAAUGAGAGGCCUCUUGGAGCUAAUUUCACUGUUCAACAGCUGAAAGAUAGAGAGCAAAGGCUGAAGAAGAAACUUAAUGUUAGCUAUCAAGCGAACAACGCAAGUGGAGAUACAAACAAUUCCCCUAUUAUGAUGUUUUAUGUGAAAUUUACGAAGGUCAAAUGGCAGAAGGAAAGCAUUGCAAAAGGACAACCGAUGGUAAUGAAGAGAGGUACAAUAAUGUGUCCCAUUUUCCUGAACAUGGAAGUUAUACUGAUGAUGUUUUGAGGGUUGCCGGUAUGAAUUCUCCUGAGGCAACACUAUCUGCUCCAGGAUCAUCAAUGCCAGAAUAUGAGUUGGGCAGAGAUAAAUAUGGGGAUGAUGUUGACUUAUCAUAUGGUGGAUAUACAGAACCUCUAGGGAGUAAUCAAAUUCAUGCUUCAGCAGUAGAAGAUUUAACGAGUGUGGAUUCACCUCAAAGGAAGAGGCUUCGGAAUUCUAAAGGAUCUGAUGACGGAAGUGAGAAAAGUAAGGGGAAAAAAGAAAAGGACACUAUGUUGGCCAACUUGGUUUCCGUGAGGGAGGAAGAAAUGCAAACUUAUAAAGAAAUGAAGACGAAGCAAAUUGAUAGCUACAAGGAAAUCAAGAUGGCACAAAUGGAAAGGUGAUCCAAAAAAUGAUCCAUAUGGCAUGCCAAACUGCAAGCCAAGCUUAUUAUAGAUGAGGCCAACCUAUGGGUUACUGCAGGGGCUAAACAAUUAGGGAAAAUUGUAUCGCGCGAGUAAUUGUCAUGCCGUACUUCGGCCUUGUGUAACUCUACAAAACUCUAUUCUCCUCUACUUUAAUAGAUGAGGCAAAUCUUUUGCCUCCGUUUUGAAAAAAAAGAAUUUGGGACUCACACCAAAUGAUCAACACAAGAUGAUCAACCAUCUCAAAGCAGAUAUGCUAAACCGUCAAACAUUCAUGGAAGUGGAGGAUGAUGUUCUAUCCGUGAUUAUCCAAGAAGUCGUUGCCCC